GUCUGUGGACGGUGGCCCCAAAGAGCUGCACCAAGGCUUGAGGAUAUGUAGCAGAGUACAGGUUACAAGCUCUUGGUGAGGAGUGUCAAGGAUAUGUAGCUGGCUAGCGAACUGCACGCCCUAGUGGCCUGCGUUGUUGCUGAGCAUCAUGCUUCUUCCUACGCAUCUUUCAACAAUCACGUAGAGCAUUCAUAUCACCACGAUGAUCACCAUGAUCAUCCUGAACCACAUCACCACCCAAAAUACGAAUACAAAUAUGGCGUCGAGGACCACCACACCCAUGAUAUGAAAUCAGCCGAAGAGGAACGCGACGGGGAUGUCGUCAAGGGAUGGUACAAAUUGGACCAUUGGUGUGGUUGUGUGACAUGAGACCUAAUCAUUGGUGUGAUUAGUUGUGAACUGCCAACCAUUGUAGUGGUUGAGUAGGUUGCCAACCAUUGGUGUGGUUGUGUGACAUGAGACCUAAUCAUUGGUGUGAUUAGUUGUGAACUGCCAACCAUUGUAGUGGUUGAGUAGGUUGCCAACCAUUGGUGUGGUUGUGUGACAUGAGACCUAAUCAUUGGUGUGAUUAGUUGUGAACUGCCAACCAUUGUAGUGGUUGAGUAGGUUGCCAACCAUUGGUGUGGCUGUGUAACGUGUGACCUAAUCAUUGGUGUGAUUAGUUGUGAACUGCCAACCAUUGUAGUGGUUGAGUAGGUUGCCAACCAUUGGUGUGGUUGUGUGACAUGAGACCUAAUCAUUGCCAACCAUUGGUGUGGUUGUGUGACAUGAGACCUAAUCAUUGCCAACCAUUGGUGUGGUUGUGUGACAUGAGACCUAAUCAUUGGUGUGAUUAGUUGUGAACUGCCAACCAUUGUAGUGGUUGAGUAGGUUGCCAACCAUUGGUGUGGCUGUGUAACGUGUGACCUAAUCAUUGGUGUGAUUAGUUGUGAACUGCCAACCAUUGUAGUGGUUGAGUAGGUUGCCAACCAUUGGUGUGGUUGUGUGACAUGAGACCUAAUCAUUGGUGUGAUUAGUUGUGAACUGCCAACCAUUGUAGUGGUUGAGUAGGUUGCCAACCAUUGGUGUGGUUGUGUGACAUGAGACCUAAUCAUUGGUGUGAUUAGUUGUG